GGAGGUGGACGGAGGAUCGCCGGCGGACAAUUACCGUCCGCGGGAGGAAAGUCCGGGCUCCGUAGGGUGGGGAAGUCGUUAACUGCGACCCGGGGCGACCCGAGGGAAAGCGCAACAGAAAUCACACCGCCGAUGGCGCGCAACUGCGGGUUCGAAAGAGCUUGCGGUUCGGGUUGGCGCUUUGCGCCAGCCCCGCACAGGUAAGGUUGAAAUCGUGGGGUAAGAGCCCACGCGCGACAGCCGGGUGACCGGCGGCGAGGCA
rnacentral:RNase_P_RNA from 1 species